rnacentral:rRNA from 1 species
AUACGUAGGUGACAAGCGUUAUCCGGAUUUACUGGGCGUAAAGGGCGUGUAGGCGGUCUUGCAAGUCAGAAGUGAAAUUCCUGAGCUCAACUCGGGCGCUGCUUCUGAAACUGCAGGACUUGAGUGCUGGAGGGGAUAGCGGAAUUCCUAGUGGAGCGGUAAGAUGCGCAGAUAUUAGGAAGAACACCGGUGGCGAAGGCGGUUAGCUGGACAGGAACGGACGCUGAGGGGCGAAAGCGUGGGGAGCAAACGGGAUUAGAUACCCUGGUAGUCCACGCUGUAAACGAUGAAUACUAGGUGUAGGGGGUAUCGACUCCCUCUGUGCCGCAGUUAACACAAUAAGUAUUCCGCCUGGGGAGUACGGCCGCAAGGUUGAAACUCAAAUGAAUUGACGGGG